rnacentral:rRNA from 1 species
GACGAACGCUGGCGGCGUGCUUAACACAUGCAAGUCGAGCGGAAAGGCCCUUUCGGGGGUACUCGAGCGGCGAACGGGUGAGUAACACGUGAGUAAUCUGCCCUGCGCUCUGGGAUAGCCACCGGAAACGGUGAUUAAUACCGGAUAGGACCACUUCACGCAUGUGAUGGUGGUGGAAAGUUUUUUCGGCGCAGGAUGUGCUCGCGGCCUAUCAGCUUGUUGGUGAGGUAACGGCUCACCAAGGCUUUGACGGGUAACCGGCCUGAGAGGGUGACCGGUCACACUGGGACUGAGACACGGCCCAGACUCCUACGGGAGGCAGCAGUGGGGAAUAUUGGACAAUGGGCGGAAGCCUGAUCCAGCAACGCCGCGUGAGGGAUGACGGCCUUCGGGUUGUAAACCUCUUUCAGUACCGACGAAGCGAAAGUGACGGUAGGUACAGAAGAAGGACCGGCCAACUACGUGCCAGCAGCCGCGGUAAUACGUAGGGUCCGAGCGUUGUCCGGAAUUAUUGGGCGUAAAGGGCUCGUAGGCGGUUUGUCGCGUCGGGAGUGAAAACACCGGGCUUAACUCGGUGCUUGCUUUCGAUACGGGCAGACUAGAGGUAUGCAGGGGAGAAUGGAAUUCCUGGUGUAGCGGUGAAAUGCGCAGAUAUCAGGAGGAACACCGGUGGCGAAGGCGGUUCUCUGGGCAU